rnacentral:rRNA from 1 species
UACGUAGGUGGCAAGCGUUGUCCGGAAUUACUGGGCGUAAAGAGCUCGUAGGUGGUUUGUCGCGUUGUCCGUGAAAACUCACAACUCAAUUGUGGGCGUGCGGGCGAUACGGGCAGACUGGAGUACUGCAGGGGAGACUGGAAUUCCUGGUGUAGCGGUGGAAUGCGCAGAUAUCAGGAGGAACACCGGUGGCGAAGGCGGGUCUCUGGGCAGUAACUGACGCUGAGGAGCGAAAGCGUGGGUAGCGAACAGG